rnacentral:lncRNA from 1 species
UGGAUGGGAGGCAAGAAGAUGCCUGAGCUCUUCAAAAGCUUGCUGGCACUCCUCUGACCAUAAGAAGUUCUUCGGCCGCUUGAGGAUUGCAAAAAAUGGGAGGCACCGCUCGGCCGAUCUGGCAACAAACCUUCCCAGAGCCGCGAUUCGUCCUGUGAGUCGUUGUACCUCCUUAACCGUCCUCAGUGGGACCAUCUCCUGCAGUGCUCGGAUCUUCUCGGAAUUUGCUUCAAUUCCACGCUGGGUGAU